UUGACCAAAUUCGACACUCAUGACCUCCAUACAAAAACUCAUUGCUUGGUUGGCGAAACAACGAAAAAACGCCACCUGCUGGAGGGAGACAGAUUUUCCACCGAGGGGACCAAAGACAUUCACGAUGCCACUCGAGUUGUGUCAAGGGAAGAGUGGAAUACUUUUAAAGAAAUGAAUAGAUUGAUUAAAUAUUGUUCUUGAAAUAUUUUAUUCACAAUAGUCCUAUAGUAAUCGAUGGCUUUCAUAAUGGCGACCGGUCUUAUUCAUAUGACCCAAGAUGUGAACACAAUAGGUGGUUGAUGGCUUCAAGGAUCCACCUACACCCAAAUACCCGAGACAGAUGGGCAGACCGGAAACCGAGUGACAACACUCAGGUCUGUAGCUGCGUGGGAAAGAGAAAUGGCCCUGUAUUUACCAGAAAAGGUAGCUCAUCCACCAUGGCAGAAGAGGAAGAUCCAGAUGGUUGAUUGGGAAACAAGAACAAACAAUGAGGCAUGAGGAUUGGUUGUUGAGGGACUGCUUGUCACAUUGUCCAAGUCCAACAGGAGUGCAUCUCUCAGACCAUCUGGGGCAUGGACAUCCUGUACCAGUCUGAUCCGAGCAGGAGUAUCCAUUUGUACAGCACAUCGAGCCUGUGGACGGACAGACAUGAGGUGUGACAUGUGGAACAUCAGGCACACCCCACGACAAGGAGUGCAUGAUCAACACCACUCUCAGCAAGGAGAUCUGCUGGAAGGGAUGUGCUCUCUCACUCUCACUCAUAAUUUUAACAUCACAAAUAUAAAUUCCCACUGAGCCCAUGAUAAAAUGCAAUGUGAAUUGUGUCGUACUUCUGAAUGAAACUGUGAGGAGAUGCACACAGACCAGCCUUUGUGAUUGAACUUAUGUUAACCUCAUUACUUUAGUUGGCUGCUUUGAGCAAAACUUAAAUGUAAUAUAGCCUAUUCUAGGAGCCUAUUGUUUGUGUAUGAUAUUUAUUCACUGUUCACUUGUUUUUCAACAAUAUCAAGUACGGGCAGGGAUGACUGGGGCCUUCAGCAAGUACUGGCAGGAGGAGCAAUAUGGGUGAGGUCGUCGUGCUGGAUGGUGAUGGAGGCUUUGGUGGUCCACACAACAAAGAAGCAGGUGUUCCUUCCUGUGAUGUGGAGCUGACCUUUGACCUGGUGCCAGUGAGGGAGGUCUUCCCUCCUUGAUUUAAAAAUCCUCAGACUUCACUGCCUCUUCAAUGGUAAGGUCCCUUGCACCAUAGGGACACUUGAUCUACACCACUGCUGUGGUACACCAGUAGGCGCCCAAGAGCCCCCGACCAAAGCCCUGACUCCUGCACAUCCAUCCCUGUAGCCAUUUUGAAUGCCUUGAUGCCCUCCUCUUCAUUAUCGGGUUAUCAUAGUUGGGGUUGUUGCGCUAUCCAACUGUUGCCUGCCGUAUAGCCUCCUGCUGCUACACUGACAGCGCCAUGCCAGCCAGGAUGCCUGCAUGCCCUUGUUUUUUAAACAUUUUUAAACAAUGUCCGGUACAGACAGGGAUCACAGGGAGGAUAGCGGUUGUUCUGGCUCAGGUUCAAGGAGACAUGCUAUUCCACUGAACCUGCCACGAAGAUGGUUCCUUAGCCAUUGAAGAUCCUCCUCUGUGGGCUCUUGGGACAGAGGGUUGUAGUCUUCGACUGGGUACAGGUCCUCCACUGACUGUACCUGGUUGGGCACGGCUGUCUUCCUCCACUCGCAUUCCACGUCCGUACGGCCGUUAUUGUGAACCGCCAAAAUUGGCUGCAUCGCUACACUUACGAGCUCCACGGAGGCGUUUGCAUGUGGUAGAGAGAGUGCCCUGGUCACUUAUAGAGACCUGCCAAGAUGAAGGAUGUUAAGUGCCACACGCCUUUCAAUACAUGACUUUAAACACCUUGAAAUGCAUUCGUUGUAAGAAAUGUGAUAUAUAAAUAGUUUGAUUUGAUUAAUGACAUUACAGCUGUACAAUAUUUAAUAAACUGUAAUUGCAGUGCAGGUUUUCCAUAAACCUUUAAUUGAUAACUUGGGAUUUUAUCAUUUGACAUCAAUCAUAUAGUGGGAAGGAUCCUAUAAAUCUAGACUGUAUGAACACAUGUACCACUUCGAAUAAAUAAAUACUGUGCU